GACGAACGCUGGCGGCGUGCUUAACACAUGCAAGUGGAGCGACGAACCGGGCUUCGGCCCGGGGCAGAGCCGCGAACGGGUGAGUAACACGUGGGUAACGUACCCCGACGACCGGGACAACCCGAGGAAACUCGGGCUAAUACCGGAUGAGCCCUCCCACCUCAAGGUGGGCGGGGAAAAGUAGCUUCGGCUUCCGCAUCGGGAUCGGCCCGCGGCCCAUUAGCUUGUUGGUGGGGUAACGGCCCACCAAGGCGACGAUGGGUAGCUGGUCUGAGAGGACGAUCAGCCACACUGGGACUGAGACACGGCCCAGACUCCUACGGGAGGCAGCAGUGGGGAAUCUUGCGCAAUGCGCGAAAGCGUGACGCAGCAACGCCGCGUGAGGGAAGACGGCUUUCGGUUGUAACU
rnacentral:rRNA from 1 species